UCUUUUCCUCUCUCUCGCCUCUCUCUCUCUCUCUCUCUCUCUCUCUCUCUCUCACACACACACACACACACACACACACACACGCACGCACGCACACAGUAUUCUCUGUUCCUUUGCUUUCUCUAGGACACAUGGUACUGAAGAUUUAUUUUAGUAUGCUUAACAGUUUAAUUAGGGAGGAAAGAAAAAGAAAAAUCAUUGUCAAGAGUUAACUUUUUUUUUCUCUUUUGGUCGCACCCAUAGCAUAAGGAAGUUCCCCGGCCAGGGACUGAACCCACGCCACAGCAAUGACCCAAGUGCUGCAAUGACAAUGCUGGAUCCAUAACCCACUGAGCCACAAGAGAACUCCAUCAAGAGUUAUCUUUUCAAGAUAGGUAAGUCCACAAAAUAGAUUUUGUCAACAAAAAUUAAAAUUCAAGUUGCUUUAAAACAUAAUGAAAUAGAACCAGUAAAAAACACUGAAGUAGCUAUGUGACCCUAAGACCUAUUUGGGUCAUCUAAAAAUGUGUAAUGAAAAUAAGUAAUCCUAAUAAAGCCGAGGUACUAGAAAACACUUUAAACCAAAGACCUCAGAUUUAUAAGCAGGGCAGCUGGCAACAGAACCUAAAUGAAUCAUAAGGCUGACCAUCAGACAUAUAACAGCUUUAAAAACUUACAACACCCACACAUUUUGGUUCAAUCUGAAAGUCUGAUAACUUAAGAGAUAGGGUUAAUAUAACCUAGGAAAUAAAGAAAACACAUUAAAUGCAAAAGAAAGUGAGUUGCAUUUUGGGUGCUAAAAAUGUACAAAUGCAUAAUAUAGACAAUGCUCUAAGCAAUAAAGGUGAAUUUUUGUAUUAGGACUAAAAGAUUUGAUAAUCUCAAGGGAUAAUCUAGGACCUCAUUGGGACCUCAUCCAUAGAGUAAAAAGUACAUUUUAAAAGUACCUGGAAAGAAAAGGUAGUACCUAGACAAUUCAGGUCAAAUAAAUUGCAGGAGGGAGAGCAUUAUACAUAAAUUCAGGGAUUUAUGCAUUUUUGCCCACAGCAAUUUUGCUGAUAUGGCAGUAAGGCACUCAUGCAGACAUAAUUAGCUAUUUUUUCUAGUUUGUUUCUAUUUUCUUAUUUCCAAUUUCCUAUCUUAGCUAAAGACAAAAAAAUACUUGAGUUAGGCAGGCAUACUACCUCACCUAAACUACUUGAGCUACAUCAACUUUCGAACACAAGAAUUUGACCAGAGCCAGUAGCUGGAUAGGCACAAAACUGAAAUGCUUUAUUUAUAAUCAGGAAACCUAAUCACCCAUAAUCUGGGAUAUGGAAUUACCACUAACAAUUUCAGUGGAUAAUUUAUACAUGAAUCACCUACAGCAUUCCAAGAUCUCGAACUUCACAUGAAGUGAGUUUCAGACAUCUGAUAUUAAACACAGAAGUAUCUAUUUCCCCUUCAAAAUCUAUGUGACCAUAAACUAUGGGCCUCCUAACUAGAAGUGUAAAAGCAUAAAAAUGAGACAACAAGGAAAAGUUUCAAGGAGUAAAAGACCACAUGUAUUCAACAUCAAAGAUGUUCUCCAUAACAUCACUACUAUGAAGUAAUACUGAUACAAAACUAGCGCAUACUGGACUUAAAAGUAAUCUGGAUUUUAAUAAGUUAAACUGAACUAGCACUAUGAUCAUAUUUCUUCAGUAAACUGUUACCUGUCAUCAAAUGCAACAGUGUAGUAUAAUUACUGAAUGACAAAGACAAGAAGCUUGAAGAUGAAAUCUAAGAGCAGAUUUCUGUAUGAAAGGUAAGUUUCCCAGUAACCUCCAAGGAAGUCAGAGAUUCCAUGAGGGUGCAAACUGGUCUGCUGCACAAUCUAACUGGCUAACGAUUCCAUCAAGAAAUGAAAGCUGUCUUGGAGAAUAUACUACUAAGCACAUGAGAUCAUAUAUCCAUAAGCUUUACUAAACUAUGAUUUUCUAUACCAACAAACUCCUACUUACCUAAGCCAAAUGACUUAUUUCACACCAAUAAACUGCAAAUACAAGUGUCUUCAUUUACAACUCACCACUAAGGAACAUGCUUAUGUUUGGAAUCUUAUUUUCACUGUACAGGGGAAACAUUACUACAUACAUGACAAGAAACAAGAAGAUUCACAAGCAUAACAAUAGCAUAAACUCACUGUUCAGGAAUGUGACUGGUUGUCCUACCUAAGAGUAGGGUCAAAAGCGUCCAGGGAAAUUAAUACAGCACAGGUAUACAGUCAAAAAUGAAGAAGGAGCCCAUGUCUCCUAGUCCCACCCCCUAAAAAGUCAGGAUUUCAGGACAGGAUGAGCACCUGAACCACCAAUCUUUCGUCUUUUUUUUUUUUUGGUUGCGGGGCAGGCUGCACCCACCAAAUGUAAAAGUUCCUGACCAGGCACUGAGCCCAAGCCACGAAAGUGACAACGCUGGAUCCUUAACCCGCUAGGCCAAAAGGGAACUCCUUUUUUCUCUUUUUUAAAAAGAUUUCUCAGGACAAGGAUUCCAUAAACUCUUUAUUGAGCUCAUUCCAAUGCCUGGCCAGAAAAGACAUACUACUACUAAGUUUUUCAUUUUAUCCACAUAAGACUAGAUACAAACCAGUGUUAUUACUAAAGGAAGCUCAAAUUGGAGAGAAAAAAAAAAUUAAAAAAAACACCAAGGAAAAAGUUUUUCUUGUUUUUAAAUAUUUUAAUGGAAAUAUGUCUGGUCAGAUUUCCAAAACUGGGCUAACAGUGUUUAAACAUUGUGCCAGAAUAUUUGAGAAGCUUAAUGAAAUAAAACAAAUAGAAGUAUCUGUUUCAAAAGUAAACGUGAUACAAUAGAGAAAACUUUAUUCUAAAAUGAUUUUAAUUUAUUGACCAAGCUACAUGGUAAGAAAAAUCAUUUCAAAUUGUUUUUCAUCUCCACAGCAGUAUUUGAAGUUGAUGGGCUUUCCCAGAGAGUAUGGAGAUCUCAAGCGACUCUCAAUUAGCCCUCAAUUUCUCUUUUAAAUGAAUCUGCUGACCUGUGGUCUUUAAACAUCCAUAAAUCUUGCCCCAGCCGAUAAAUAUCUAACUUUUUCUUCUAAGGGGAGUGUGUGGGUGUCUGUCUGCAGGGAAGGGGUAACCCUUUUUGGUUUUUGACCAAAGAAUGUUGACGGUUUUCUAAGCAAAUGUUUCUUCCUAUGCACGAGGCUUUUUCUUUGAAGCUGCCUUUUUUUCCCAUCUAUCCUGCACGUCAAGCCUGGGGCCCCCACAUUCUGGCCCGUCCCUUCACCCUGUCCAAUCCCAUAUAGUUCCCUUAAUUUCCGCGCGGGGUGACACCAGAGGGCCGAGCGCGAAGCCUGCGGCUGGCGCUAACUAGGCGCGAAGAGGGCGGACUGCUGUCACUGGGGAGCAGGCGUGGGCCAAAGCCGAGGUGAUUUCUGACUGCUCAUCGCCCAGCCCCGCGUGGCUGAAGGUCUCCGAACCCCUCGGUCCGGCCCGGCAAGCCAGGCGUGCAGCUGUCGCGGUGCAGGAAGCUAAUCGCGGCCUCUGGGCCGCUUUGACAGGCCGAGUUGGAAAAGAAAGGGGUUCACUGCGACUAGUAGCCUCACCCCUUCAGCUAAGAGACCUCGAGAGCGAAACCCCCGCCUCGGCCUCAAGGCAAGCGAGAGACCUCGGAGCCACAGCCCAGCCCAGCAGGGGCCCGCCCAGGGGCCACUCCCCAAGGGAGGCAGCCAGUCACUCGCCCGCCCUUCCGGGCCCGCUCCGGAGGGGACGGUCUCCCGCCCGCCCUCAACAGCUCCUCAGGCCAGGCCCCCAGGGCUUCGUCCACCUCUCACCUUUGACGACGCGGAGAAUCUGCUACAACAAACAGAAACUCCUCUCUCCCCGUCCUCCUGUGCCCAGAUUGCAGAGCAUAACUGUUUUGCCUCCAGUCAUCAUCUGGGGGCAUAUCUACUCUUCGAGGACCAGGGGCUCGAAAUCCUGAAACAGGACCUGAAUUCCAAGCUGACCUCAGGGGUACAUGAAGACUGCUUGAUGCUGGGGACACAGGGUCAACAAUAGGAAAGUGGGAGGGUGAAUGGAAAAGAUCUCCCCAGGAUUGAGCAUGAGGAACCUGAAGGUCCUGGUGUCUUUCUGGUAGUGUGGCAGUGUGGGUUAAUUGAGGCUUGCACCCUGGAGUAGUCAGGAAUCUGGCCCCAGUAUGCUGGUUGGUCUCGGACCAUGAUCCACAGGAGGCAGCUGUUUUAGAAUGAUGGGGGAGACUCCGAUAGUUCAAAGUCCUUCCUGUGUACUUGACCCCUUCUGAAGUUUCACUCCUGUCACACAUAGCCAGAAGCUGCUGGACACUCCUCGAAGUUCCUGGGAAGAGAAGAGAAAUCCAACAACUGAGCAUCUUCAGUAAACCACUCUACUUCCCAGAGAACAUUUCUGGCUCUUCCUUCCAACUUCCCACCUCUCCAAGAACAUACACACAAGGAGGAAGCUGGCUUUACUUUUAAUUUCCUUCUUUCCUUUUUUUGACUUUUGUCUAAAAGUGAUGUACCCGCUGCACAUGGGGGUUCCAAGGCUAGGGGUCUAACUGAAGCUACAGCGGCCAGCCUACACCAGAGCCACAGCAAUGCCAGAUCUGAGCUGCAUCUGAGACCUACACCACAGCUCACAGCAAUGCCAGAUCCUUAACCCACUGAGCUAUGCCAGGGAUCAAACCCGCGUACUCAUGUAUACUAGUGGGGUUCGUUAACCACUAAGUUACAACCGGAACUCCUUAAUUUCUUUUUUUGUUUGUUUGUUUUUGGCUGCACCUGAGGCAUGUGGAAGUUCCAGGCCAGGAAUCAAACCCACACUGCCUUGUGACCUGCACCAUAGCUGUGGCAAUACUGGAUCCUUAACCCACUGCACAAGGGAACUUCCUUAAUUUCAUUUUUAAAAAAUUAUUAAUAUACAUUAAAAUCAACCUCCAACCUGUGCAAAUAAAACAGUCUCCUGGAUGUUACCAUACUUCUAUCUCACUGCAUUAUAAUCUCUUCUCCAAAAUACAUACACACACACGUGCUUGUGCAUAUAAGAAUACUGCAAAUAUAUUGCAAAUAUAUUGCUAAAAGUGCAAAUAUAUGUUCUUAUUGUGACAACUACUCCUAAAGCCAUCACUCCAAAACAUUCACUCAGUUUUUCUUAACAUGGUACCUUCACCCCAAUUAAGCUGUUUCUACUUACAACUUUGCUCAUUCUCUCAGAUCCCUGCUUUUGUUGACACUUCUCCCACAUACAUAAUGUGGAAUGCCUUUUCUAUACAUUGAUUCCCUUUUACUAGUUUUUCAUAAAUCACUUCUAAAUAAUAUAUUUUUAUUUUAAAAUUCUA